rnacentral:rRNA from 1 species
UGGGGGAUAUUGCACAAUGGGCGAAAGCCUGAUGCAGCGACGCCGCGUGGGGGAUGAAGGCUUUCGGGUUGUAAACCUCUUUCGCUAUCGAACAAGGCCCGCUUAGGGUGGGUUGAGGGUAGGUGGAGAAGAAGCGCCGGCUAACUACGUGCCAGCAGCCGCGGUAAUACGUAGGGCGCGAGCGUUGUCCGGUAUUAUUGGGCGUAAAGGGCUUGUAGGCGGCUUGUUGCGCCUGCUGUGAAAACGCGGGGCUUAACUUCGCGCGUGCAGUGGGUACGGGCAGGCUUGAGUGUGGUAGGGGUGACUGGAAUUCCAGGUGUAGCGGUGGAAUGCGCAGAUAUCUGGAGGGACACCGAUGGCGAAGGCAGGUCACUGGGCCAUUACUGACGCUGAGGAGCGAAAGCAUGGGUAGCGAACAGG